rnacentral:sRNA from 1 species
GGCCCAGUGUUUUUGGAUGCUUUCUCCAUGCAUACAAAUGGGCUGCUUUAUGAGAAUUCAUAGUACUUACCUCAGGUAAUGUAGGAACAGGUUUCCUGAGCAUGAUGAGUUACUCACCUGGCCUUAUCUUCUCAUACAUACACACGAAGUUAUGUUGCUUUUGCACAUAAGGUUAUAUUGUAGAAUUGCUCUUUUCCCUUUUUUAUGCUUGAGGUCUCCUGGUCAUCACUCAACUCAAAUAUGGAGCCCUUCCCUGCUUCCCUCAGUCAGAACAAAUCUCUUACUUCUCUGCAUUCCUGGGGUUCUUAUUGUAUGCCCCCUCCUUUAAAAAAAUUGAGGGACCCCUUCCUUGCUUCCCUCAGUCAGAACAAAUCUCUUACUUCUCUGCAUUCCUGGGGUUCUUAUUGUAUGCCCCCUCCUUUAAAAAAAUUGAGGUAAAAAUCACAUACCAUAAAAUUACCUAAAGUGUACAAUUCAGUGCUUUUUCGUAUAUUGGCAAGGUUUUGCAAAUAUUAAUAAUUCCAGAACAUCUUGAUCACCCCAAAAGGAAACUGAUACCCAUUAGCAGUCACUCCUUAUUGCUCCUUUUCCCCAGCCCCUGGCAACCGCUGAUCUACUUUAUGUCUGUACGAAUUUGCCUAUUCUGGACAUAUCAUCUAAGUGCAGUCAUAAAAUACGUGGCUUUUUGUGCCUGGCUUCUUUCACUUUAUAAUGUUCCCACAUUCAUCCAUGUUGUAGCAUGUAUCAGUACUUCAUUUUGUUUUAUAGCCAAAUGAUAGUCUGUUGUAUGUAUAUACUACAUUUUAUUUAUCCAUUCAUUAGUUCAUAGAUUUUUGUGUUGAUUGCACUUUUUGGCUACUAUCAAUAAUGCUAUAAUGAAGAUUUGUGUACAGCUUUUUCUGUGGACAUAUGGAGUGGAAUGGCUGCAUCUUAAUGGUAACCCUCUGAUAAACUUUUUGAGGAACUGCCAGUUUUCCAAAGCAGGUGCCCGCACCAUUUGACAUUCCCAUCAGCAGUGUGUGAGGGUUCCAGUGUUCCCACAUCCAGUACUUACUAUUUUCUGUCUUUUUGAUUAUAGGUAUCUUUGUGGGUGUGAAAUGGUAUCUCAUAGUAAUUUUGAUUUGUUUCUCUCUAAUGACUAGUUUCGUUGAGCAUCUUUUCAUAUACUUACUGGCCAUGUGCCCCAAUUGCUAAAACUUAGCACACUGUUUUGUGAUAAUUUCCUAGUUUGCCUCCUUUGCUAACUAGAAUUUCUGGGAGCAGACCUUAUGCUUUUUUUUUUUAAUCUUCAUGACCCCGACAGCAGGACAGCACUUGGUACUAAUGUGCUCUAAAAUAAUUCAAUUGGAAAAGGAAGUAGUAUCCUUUUCUAGGUAAUACCUGACUAUAUUUAGAAAUCAAAAAUAAAUUGAGAAAGUGAAAGGUUUUGUGUCUCACCUCACCCCCAAAUCCGUACACACAUUCACUCACAUAUAAAAUUUUUCCUGAGACAGUGAUUUUAAUAUUUUGUUUUAUAUCCUUCUAGACCUUUCAUUUAUUUAUUUAUUUAUUUAUUUAUUUUAUUUGAGACAGAGUCUCACUCUGUCACCCAGGCUGGAGUGCACUGACGUGAUACUGGCUCACUGCAAGCCCUGCCUCCCGGGUUCAUGCUGUUCUCCUGCCUCAGCCUCCUGGGUUCAUGCUGUUCUCCUGCCUCAGCCUCCUGAGUAGCUGCGACUACAGGUGCCCGCCACCAUGCCUGGCUAAUUUUUUGUAUUUUUAGUAGAGACGGGGUUUCACCGUGUUAGCCAGGAUGGUCUCGAUCUCCUGACCUCAUGAUCCGCCCGCCUCAGCCUGUCAAAGUGCUGGGAUUAUAGACGUGAGCCACUGCGCCCAGCCUUUUACUCGUUUAUUAUAUGCACUUUUUAAAAAAGAAAAAACAUUUAAAAACCAAAGUUAUAUGUACAUAUGGAACAGUUGUAAACAGUAUCAUAUAAAGAAGAAAAAGGCUUUCUCUAAUAUCUGAUCACCAGUGUCCUUUCUCUAGAGGCAACUGCUGUUAACCAGGUUUUUCCAGUGUGCCCUUCAGGGGCACUGUUAUCCGGAGAUACAAGCAUGUAACACUUUUGUGUAUUGUGGUGUAUUUUAUAUGCUGUUUUGUAAGUACCUUUUUUUCUCUUCACAAGUAACAUGUAUAUCUUUUCAUGUCAUUAUACAUAUAGUUGGUCAUUUAGUAAGUGUUUUUUAGUGGCUAUCAUGUACUAACAUUGAGAAUAGCAGCAAAUUGAACAGGUAGUGUUCCUAGGAGAUUCAGGUUAUCCUUUCUUAAGGACUUCCUAGUAUUUCAAUGUAUUGGCUAUGCCAUAAUUUAUCCUCUACUGAUAGAAAACUAGGUCGUUUCCAGUUUUGCUCUAUUAUAAGCAACCGUUUUGAACACUCCAAUAAUGCAUCUUCCCACUUGUUAUUUCCUUGGGGGAAAAGUCUAAGAAAUUGAACUUUCCAAAGGUUAAAUAUAUUGUGUCUUGACCACUGUUGCCCUCCAGAAAUAUGUCAGUUUACAUUUACACAAUUUAUACUUCUCUCAAUCUAUGGCAUUUGAGAGAGCCUGUCCCACCCUCUCCAUACUCUUUGCCAGUCUGAGAGGACAGAAGCAAUUUUAUUGAUGUUUUAUGCAUUUCUCUUAUUAGUGAGAAUACGUACCAUCUCAUGGUUAAUGGCCAUUGAUUUACAUGUUGCUAAAUCGUGUGUUCCCUUGCUUAUCUUUAUCUGCCUUGGUGUUGACCACCCUUUGCUUCUCACCACAGCUUUCUCUUGGUUCUGCAGUAACAUGCUCUUGUUUUCUCUGGACCUACCUCCUCAUCCACUGUCAGACCUCAGUGUCUGCCUGCCUUAGACUGGGUUAUUGCCCUUGUUUCUUAUCUUCAUUUUGUGCCAUCAGAUACAUUUGGAUGGCAGUGAUUGACAAAUUCAUGUCGCCAGCCCCAAACUGGAGCACCAGACUCAUGCCUUAAUGCCUCCUUAGUGUCCUCACUUGGCUGUUUAAUAGGCAUAUCCACUUGAACACUGCCGAAGUAUGCUUGAAUCCCACCCUCACCCCCAACACUAAAAGCAAAUAUUCUCCUUCUCCAGGGAUUUCCAUCUUGUUGAAACCACAAACAUAAGUAUACUCUAGAGUCUCUUUUCUUGUUCACCUUCUAUAUACCUGUUGCUGUCUUCCUGUUUGCAUUCUGAGUCUGGCAUCCUUUCUGUUCCUGGGCUUAACCAUGCUUUUCCUGCCUUCAGACUUUUGUAUCAUUUACAUUGCUCUGUGCUUAGCCAGCCCCUCAGAGAGGUAUUCCCUGUCCACCCCAAUUCAGUGGAGGGCUUCCUAGUCACUCUCAUGUUACUUUUAUUUUCUUCACAGGAUUUAUCUUGUAGAUUUGUUCAUCUGUCUCUGCCCUUUGAAAAUUUAGUUUUUGUGGCAGCAAGGGUCUUGUCUUUUGGUUCACUGCCAUAUAACUAUCUAGAGUAGUGAUAUACAGGAGUUAUUCAGUAAAAUAACUUAUAUUUGUGUGGAUUGAUCAUUAAUACUCUACGUACAUUUUACUGGCUUCUAAAGAUCUCUUCUGGAUUAAGGCCAUUAACUCAUCAUUAUAAAUAAAUUUUCUAGUUUAUCAUUUGUCUUCAAACCUUGUUCAUAGUGUUUUCUUAUGUAGACUAUUUACGUGAACAAAUAAACAGGAAAUAGGAGUCAUCAGUCUUUGCUUUCUUGCUUCUGAGUUUUGUUGCUUUUUGAAAAUGUCUGAUUUAUACCUUUUUUCUGGUCUGUAUAAAUCGCUUUUUACUGUACCUGCUGUUUCUCUGUUAGAAUUGUUUAAAAAAUGAAUUUUACUUUAUUUUACUUAAGGCCUAAGAAGUUCUCCGUGGUUAAAAUAUUAGUACAUGAACUUUGUCAUCUGUGAACAAGUUCCUUUAGAAGCUGAGCUCUUUCUGAUAGUGAUGUCAAAUAGCUAAAGACGAUGUUUGCAUACCUGGCCCCUCCUUUAUCACUGCUGUUGCUGCCAUUGUUGAUGACAUGAUGUGGAAGGGCAGUGAGAAAUUUGAUAGUUGUUCAUCUAUCUGUUGGACUCAACUAGUGUUGCUUUAGUUUUUAAUCUUUUUAUCUGAAAAGGAGAGUCUAUUAUAAUUUGUCAUUUUAUUCAUUGCAGCGGUUGUGGAACAGGAAAUGAAAAAGGACUGGCUUUUUGCCCCUCAUUAUCGAUACUAUGUAAGAGAAAUGAGAAUUCAUGCAUACAGUCAGCUGCUGGAAUCAUAUAGGUCAUUAACCCUUGGCUACAUGGCAGAAGCAUUUGGUGUUGGUGUGGAAUUCAUUGAUCAGGAACUGUCCAGGUUUAUUGCUGCUGGGAGACUACACUGCAAAAUAGAUAAAGUGAAUGAAAUAGUAGAAACCAACAGACCUGAUAGCAAGAACUGGCAGUACCAAGAAACUAUCAAGAAAGGAGAUCUGCUACUAAACAGAGUUCAAAAACUUUCCAGAGUAAUUAAUAUGUAAAGCCAUGUAACUAACAAGGAUAUGCUUUAGAGAUAAUUAUUUGGAAUUUUUAUAGCUUACUUCACAAUGUGCCCAGGUCAACUGUAUAAAAUAAAUACUGCAUUGUUGUUUCU